GAUGAACGCUAGCGGCAGGCUUAACACAUGCAAGUCGAGGGGUAUAGUAGCAAUACUAGAGACCGGCGCACGGGUGCGUAACGCGUAUGCAAUCUACCUUUUGCAGAGGGAUAGCCCAGAGAAAUUUGGAUUAAUACCUCAUAGUAUAUAUGGAUGGCAUCAUUUAUAUAUUAAAGUCACAACGGCAAAAGAUGAGCAUGCGUCCCAUUAGCUUGUUGGUAAGGUAACGGCUUACCAAGGCAACGAUGGGUAGGGGUCCUGAGAGGGAGAUCCCCCACACUGGUACUGAGACACGGACCAGACUCCUACGGGAGGCAGCAGUGAGGAAUAUUGGUCAAUGGGCGGAAGCCUGAACCAGCCAUGCCGCGUGCAGGAUGACGGCCCUACGGGUUGUAAACUGCUUUUCCCCCGGGGCGAAUAACCCCCCUCGCGAGGGGGAGUGCCGGUACCGGGGGAAGUAAGGAUCGGCUAACUCCGUG
rnacentral:rRNA from 1 species